rnacentral:sRNA from 1 species
UAUCAGGUUGCCUUGUUCUCAGCUAGAGGAAAGGGAAAAUGGCAGGCUUCUCACCUUCAAGUGUUUUCAUUGCUGGAGACAAGAGGGCAUCCUCUCCCGGUCUGCUCCAAGGAGUACACCAAGUCCUGAGGAACUGAAGAACUCCUGAGGCCAGCAAGUGGUAAAGGAGGAGUCAAAACCAGAUCUGAGGGUGGCAUGACUUUCCUGAAAAUUGACAAUACAUAUUGAAAACAAGAAAGGCUGUAUGUUUGAAUGUAGCAGACCUGUGCUGAAUCAUAGGCUAACAAAGGCCACCACAGGAAAAUACAUAUUGAAGUCCUAAUCUAGUUCAGUGGGUUGCAGAGCAGUGAAAAACUCAAACUAAACAGAAUUUUGGGUCAUGCUCCAGGCAGCCUCACAUUUUCAGGGGUCCUCCAUCCCUUCUCCCACCAACCACAUCCCCAAACUCUGUUAUCCAUUGGGAAAAUGACCAACCAGCCCGUGUUAACAGGCUUGAUGGUCCCACAAGGCUGUUUGCCGAAGCAGCUGAGCCUGGGGAACUAGCACUCCCAGUAGAAUCUGUUUGUUUCUUCAGGAGCACUCAGUUGCCAAAAGCAUGGGAAGAGUCUCUGAGUGGGCUUUAAAUCUCCCUUUCCCUGUUUGCUCUGUCAGGAGCUGAAUUUCAACAGAACCAAAGAAAAGCGACUGAGUUUCCUUUAACACCAAGGGAGUUCCCUAGAGCAUCACUAAGUUAGUCUUGGGUCUCUGUAUUCUGUUUCUGCUUACUGAGCAUAGCUUUCAACAGGUAAGUGGGUCUCUCAAACAAGUCUGCCUCUUUACCUACAAAACAGGAGAGAGUUUGCCUGUGGAAGCA